rnacentral:rRNA from 1 species
UACGGGGGGGGCAAGCGUUGUUCGGAAUUACUGGGCGUAAAGGGCUCGUAGGCGGCCAACUAAGUCAGACGUGAAAUCCCUCGGCUUAACCGGGGAACUGCGUCUGAUACUGGAUGGCUUGAGUUUGGGAGAGGGAUGCGGAAUUCCAGGUGUAGCGGUGAAAUUCGUAGAUAUCAGGAGGAACACCAGUGGCGAAGGCGGCGACCUGGGCCAAUAUUGACGCUGAGGUGCGAAAGCGUGGGGAGCAAACAGG